GCAAAACGCGAAGAACCUUACCCACCUUUGACAUGUACGGAAUCCUUUAGAGAUAGAGGAGUGCUCGAAAGAGAGCCGUAACACAGGUGCUGCAUGGCUGUCGUCAGCUCGUGUCGUGAGAUGUUGGGUUAAGUCCCGCAACGAGCGCAACCCUUGCCAUUAGUUGCUACGAAAGGGCACUCUAAUGGGACUGCCGGUGACAAACCGGAGAAGGUGGGGAUGACGUCAAGUCCUCAUGGCCCUUAUAGGUGGGGCUACACACGUCAUACAAUGGCUGGUACAAAGGGUUGCCAACCCGCGAGGGGGAGCUAAUCCCAUAAAGCCAGUCGUAGUCCGGAUCGCAGUCUGCAACUCGACUGCGUGAAGUCGGAAUCGCUAGUAAUCGUGGAUCAGAAUGUCACGGUGAAUACGUUCCCGGGUCUUGUACACACCG
rnacentral:rRNA from 1 species